GAACGGCAGCACGGGAGCAAUCCUGGUGGCGAGUGGCGAACGGGUGAGUAAUAUAUCGGAACGUGCCCAGUCGUGGGGGAUAACGCAGCGAAAGCUGUGCUAAUACCGCAUACGAUCUACGGAUGAAAGCGGGGGAUCGCAAGACCUCGCGCGAUUGGAGCGGCCGAUAUCAGAUUAGCUAGUUGGUGAGGUAAAGGCUCACCAAGGCGACGAUCUGUAGCUGGUCUGAGAGGACGACCAGCCACACUGGAACUGAGACACGGUCCAGACUCCUACGGGAGGCAGCAGUGGGGAAUUUUGGACAAUGGGCGCAAGCCUGAUCCAGCAAUGCCGCGUGCAGGAUGAAGGCCUUCGGGUUGUAAACUGCUUUUGUACGGAACGAAACGGUCCUUUCUAAUACAAGGGGCUAAUGACGGUACCGUAAGAAUAAGCACCGGCUAACUACGUGCCAGCAGCCGCGGUAAUACGUAGGGUGCGAGCGUUAAUCGGAAUUACUGGGCGUAAAGCGUGCGCAGGCGGUUAUAUAAGACAGAUGUGAAAUCCCCGGGCUCAACCUGGGACCUGCAUUUGUGACUGUAUAGCUAGAGUACGGUAGAGGGGGAUGGAAUUCCGCGUGUAGCAGUGAAAUGCGUAGAUAUGCGGAGGAACACCGAUGGCGAAGGCAAUCCCCUGGACCUGUACUGACGCUCAUGCACGAAAG
rnacentral:rRNA from 1 species